CCUACGGGGGGCUGCAGUAGGGAAUAUUGGACAAUGGGCGAAAGCCUGAUCCAGCCAUGCCGCGUGAUAGAUGAAGGCCCUCUGGGUUGUAAAUAUCUUUUAUCUGGGAAGAAACAAUAUUAUUCUUAAGAUCUUGACGGUACCAGAGGAAUAAGCACCGGCUAACUCCGUGCAAGCAGCCGCGGUAAUACGGAGGGUGCAGGCGUUAUCCGGAUUCACGGGGUUUAAGGGGGGCUGAUAAGUCAUUGGUGAAAGCUCCGAGCUUAACUUGGGAACUGCCAUUGAUACUGCCAGUCUUGAAUGUCGUAGAGGUAAGCGGAAUGUUGCAUGUAGCGGUGAAAUGCUUAGAUAUGUUACAGAACACCAAUUGCGAAGGCAGCUUACUAUGCGAUGAUUGACGCUGAGGCACGAAAGCGUGGGGAGCAAACAGGAUUAGAUACCCCAGUAGUC
rnacentral:rRNA from 1 species